CGUCAUUAACGGGCCGCUACUUCACCGUGGGCCUGGUCACCUCCUUGUACUCCUCCAACAUCAGCGUCCUCCUCCUCAACAAGUACCUCCUCUCUAAUUAUGGCUUCAAGUACCCAAUUUUCCUCAUGAUGUGUCACAUGACCGCCUGCUCCCUCCUCGGCUACGUAGCCAUCGCUUGGCUCAAGAUUGUCCCGAUGCAGACCAUCAGAUCUAGGCUCCAGUUCCUCAAGAUCGCUGCUUUGAGCCUCGUCUUCUGCGGAUCUGUGGUCAGCGGGAACAUCUCGCUGAGGUCAUUGCAGGAGUUAUGCACUUCCUUAAUCUCCGGAUUCCUCCAUAUAUCCGUGUUGAUUUUGUCCAGAUCAGUUUUUCACACUCACCAAAAAAGAAAACUUAUUUGAAAUGGAUUCUCAAGAUACAAAGUAUACAUGGCCCUAGCGCUCCUCUGCCUUUUCUCAAAUUCAUUGAGGUACAAAUAUUUGUAUCCUUUAACUGGGAAAAAAAAUAAACUGUAUUUGCUAACAAGAAUGUCUAAUGACUUGAUUGUUUUUCUCAUAUAAUUUAUUUAUAUAUGCAUUUUGCUCAUGCCAGUGGUAGAUUGAAGCACAUUCAUGCCAGUGGUAUAAUUUAUUCAUGUAUUUGCUAACAAGAACUGAAACAAGCUAACUUAGCAAAUAAUGGCUAAAAGAUGCUGAUUUAGCUAAUGUGUUUGUUGUAUGAUUUGACAUUUGAGUGUGCAAUCAUUCACUGAAAUCUUUAGUUGGGUAUUCAUUUUGUAUAUACAAACCGAGGUAGUCGAAUAGAAGAAUUUUGGUUUUGUUUUCCGUUUAUUGUAUAUCCUCUAUCUGUGGUUUUAAUUUUUGUU